rnacentral:rRNA from 1 species
GACGAACGCUGGCGGCGUGCCUAAUACAUGCAAGUAGAACGCUGAAGGAGGAGCUUGCUUCUCUGGAUGAGUUGCGAACGGGUGAGUAACGCGUAGGUAACCUGACUGGUAGCGGGGGAUAACUAUUGGAAACGAUAGCUAAUACCGCAUAAGAGUAGAUGUUGCAUGACAUUUGCUUAAAAGGUGCAAUUGCAUCACUACCAGAUGGACCUGCGUUGUAUUAGCUAGUUGGUGGGGUAACGGCUUACCAAGGCGACGAUACAUAGCCGACCUGAGAGGGUGAUCGGCCACACUGGGACUGAGACACGGCCCAGACUCCUACGGGAGGCAGCAGUAGGGAAUCUUCGGCAAUGGACGGAAGUCUGACCGAGCAACGCCGCGUGAGUGAAGAAGGUUUUCGGAUCGUAAAGCUCUUUUGUAAGAGAAGAACGAGUGUGAGAGUGGAAAGUUCACACUGUGACGGUAUCUUACCAGAAAGGGACGGCUAACUACGUG